AUCUGUGUUUUUGAUUGGUAGGAAUUCUUACGCAAUAUACCGGGCAGCCUAUUGUGUGAGGAGCUAUAUGAGCAAUGGCUCCAAGCAGUGGAGCAGAAUGGUGAAAGAAAUGGACAAAUGAUGGAGAGAAACCUGCUACAGAAAGUUCAGAGGCUUGUUCAGCUUUUAUCUAAAGAAAAUCUCCUGCUGCUGAGACACAUGAUAGCGAUGCUGCACCACAUACAACUCAAUGCUGAGCACAACCAGAUGACCUCUUUUAACCUGGCUGUGUGUAUAGCACCUAGCUGUCUGUGGAAUUGCAAACUAUCGCUAUCGCAAUCUCAUGAAAAAGACGCCAAAAAGGUGUGUGACCUU